UACGGGGGGGGCAAGCGUUGUUCGGAAUUACUGGGCGUAAAGGGCUCGUAGGUGGCCAACUAAGUCAGACGUGAAAUCCCUCAGCUUAACUGGGGAACUGCGUCUGGUACUGGAUGGCUUGAGUUUGGGAGAGGGAUGCGGAAUUCCAGGUGUAGCGGUGAGAUGCGUAGAUAUCUGGAGGAACACCGGUGGCGAAGGCGGCAUCCUGGACCAACACUGACACUGAGGAGCGAAAGCCAGGGGAGCAAACGGG
rnacentral:rRNA from 1 species